rnacentral:rRNA from 1 species
CCUACGGUGGCAACAGUGGGGAAUAUUGCACAAUGGGGGGAACCCUGAUGCAGCGACGCCGCGUGAGUGAAGAAGUAUUUCGGUAUGUAAAGCUCUAUCAGCAGGGAAGAAAAUGACGGUACCUGACUAAGAAGCCCCGGCUAACUACGUGCCAGCAGCCGCGGUAAUACGUAGGGGGCAAGCGUUAUCCGGAUUUACUGGGUGUAAAGGGAGCGCAGACGGCUGUGCAAGUCUGGAGUGAAAGGCGGGGGCCCAACCCCCGGACUGCUCUGGAAACUGUAAAGCUGGAGUGCAGGAGAGGUAAGCGGAAUUCCUAGUGUAGCGGUGAAAUGCGUAGAUAUUAGGAGGAACACCAGUGGCGAAGGCGGCUUACUGGACUGCAACUGACGUUGAGGCUCGAAAGCGUGGGGAGCAAACAGGAUUAGAUACCCCAGUAGUC